rnacentral:tRNA from 1 species
UAUUUAUAUAGUAUAAAAAUUACAUUUAACUUCCAAUUAAAAAAUCUAUGAUUAGUAUAAAU